UGAUAAGUGUUUUCUAGCUGUAACGUAAAAAUUUUAGAAAUCCUUUCGUUUUCAUCACAACGGCUCAAUUCAUUGUAUAGAGAGCCGUGAAGUGCAAUUUGACAUAAGAGCCAUUGAGGCUCUUCCUCGUGGGCUUUCAAGAAUUAUCUGCGGCAGUGGUUUUUUAUAGGAGAGAAAUCAUUUGAUAUAGCGGGCAUCAAUGCCAUGGGGUUUCAAAUGCCGUUUUAUUUUUAUAGGAUUAUUCUCCUUAGCAUUCACCGAGAUAUAACAGCGGAGAUGCAGAAAUGAAGGUUUAUUGGCUGUCGCUUUGCAUUUCUACCCCGCGGAUAGAAACUCAAUUAUAGAGGUCCGUAUGAAACAUUCCAAAUUGCUCUGGAACUGCAGACAAACUUUAAUAUUCACGGACCAUUGCCCGGCCCGCGGCACAGCUGGAGCAACCAGUGAACGACCGGGCCCGUCAUGUAUUCGCCGAUCUUCACUCCCGAAAUGACCGGCCAUCUACAAUCGCCCUGAGAAUAUUCGCUCAAUCUAUUUGCGCGCGAAAACGUAGAAAUAUUCGGGGCCGAAAUAUUGAACCUUGUCGGUCGAAAUUCGACACUUAUUAAGUUCGUUGUUCUUGACUCCCGAUCGGGACACAAUUGGAAGAUAUUCGCGAGUUUCGAACGUGUAACUGACGUUCGGUGAGGAAACUUUUAGCCGAAAUAUUAUCCAGGCGUCACUCGACAUGUUUGUUCGGUAAAGUGCGGUUUAAAGCAUUUCAAAUUCUCGGGGCGUGUUGGAAUUAGUCACGUGGAAGUUUCCAUAAGCCUCGUAUUGGUCACUAUUUUCAUAUGUUGUGAAAUUCUGUAGUUAAAUUCCUCAACCACCUGUGUUGGCCGAGAUUAUUCCGAGAUUGGUGUCGUGAAGUAAAAUUUGACUUUCUAUGGAGAUUUUGUGUGACAGUGUCAUUCCAUUUUACUUGUUUGAAAAAGAAUCAUCUAUACCCAUUUAAGAGAUUCCCAUUCCUAAGAAGUGACUGCUGCCUUUUACUUACGCCCCUCUUUUCGAUUCAAACGUUGACGGUCAAGAAUCUUUGGAAACAAUAAUUUAGUGUACAAAUUAUAUCCUACAUUAUGAAUGAACUUCCUAUCAAGUAAUCUGUUGAUAAAGUGACACGCUUGAAUAGGAGGCGGGAGCACUAUUGAACAUAACAUUACUCCGUGAUGUUCCAAUUAAAUCACUGUUAUUAAAAAAGUAUCAUUCAAUUGAGCGUAUUUUUCAUAUGUAUCCAGAUAAUGAUACCCACAAAUGCUGCCUUGGCAAUUUUCUCUUCAAAACACUCGUAAAAUACUAAAUAAUCAAAUCCUGACACAUUUAUUGGUUUAAGUACUCCGUACGGAAGAGAGAGGGUUUGUAGCUUUGAUUAAAUUGUAAAGUGCAUUGAGUAACAGGGUUUUAAUCAUAUACUGCUUCAGACGAGGAUCGCGAUCAUUUCACGAAAGAGUGCGCUGCAGGUGUAAGGGUCCUGAAAAUGCCGCGUAUUAAAUUCCAGCACUGC
rnacentral:lncRNA from 1 species